AUUAAGACACACAUGAAUCCUUGUUGUACUUUAUGGGUUUGUCGCCUACUUUAUGGGUUUGUUGCCGUGAGAAUCACUGGACAAAUGUAACAUCUCAUGCGGAAAGGGAAGGACCUCGAUUUAAGUAAGUGGCUCACUAGUGAUCUUAUCCAAAUUGGGGGGCAAGACUGAACCGAGUCCUACAUGAAAAGGGAGGAGAAAGUGAGGAAAAAUAUAUAAGUGAUAAGUCUCCUAACUACGAUAGCAUGCUUUUGAGGCCUCAAAAAAGAGGCUCAAAAAAUAAAACCGUGAGAUCUAG
rnacentral:misc_RNA from 1 species